UGGCACAGUAGGCAGCGCAUUAGCCUACAAAGCUAAAAGUCCCGGAUUCGAUUCCCGG
rnacentral:tRNA from 1 species